GACGACGCUGGCGGCGUGCCUAAUACAUGCAAGUAGGACGAGUUGCGAACGGUUGAGUAAUGUCUGGGAAAUUGCCUGAAGGAGGGGGAUAACUACUGGAAACGGUAGCUAAUACCGCAUACCAUCGGAUGUGUCCAGAUGGGAUUAGCUAGUAGGGGGGGUAAAGGCUCACAGAGGCGACGAUCCCUAGCUGGGCUGAGAGGAUGACCAGCCACACUGGAACUGAGACACGGUCCAGACUCCUACGGGAGGCAGCAGUGGGGAAUAUUGCACAAUGGGCGCAAGCCUGAUGCAGCCAUGCCGCGUGUAUGAAGAAGGCCUUCGGGUUGUAAAGUACUUUCAGCGGGGAGGCGUUACCCGCAGAAGAAGCACCGGCUAACUCCGUGCCAGCAGCCGCGGUAAUAC
rnacentral:rRNA from 1 species